UACGAAGGGGGCUAGCGUUGUUCGGAUUUACUGGGCGUAAAGCGCACGUAGGCGGUCCGUUGCGUCGGGAGUGAAAACUUACAGCUUAACUGUGAGCGUGCUUUCGAUACGGGCAGACUUGAGGCAUUCAGGGGAGAACGGAAUUCCUGGUGUAGCGGUGAAAUGCGCAGAUAUCAGGAGGAACACCUGCGGCGAAGGCGGGUUGCUGGGCCGACACUGACGCUGAGUGCGCGAAAGCCAGGGGAGCGAACGGG
rnacentral:rRNA from 1 species